AUAGUUUCUAUUGUCUCAUGGAUCUGAAAGAAGAGAAGGAAGCUCAUAACAUUUUCAAACUAGGAAAUGCAAAGUUAAAUGGCAGACACUGUCUGACAUCUCCAUGUGCCUGCCACUCCCAGCCCAGGUCCAGAGUGCCACCCAGAGCCCUAACUGCUCCAGCACUCGACAUUCUUUCAGCAGAAGAGACGGCAGCCCAUCAGCGACGAGCCGGUACAUGUCUAACAAAUGAUUCUCCAAAAGAGGAGGAAAAGAAAAAGCUAAUUUGUAGCAUCUGCUGAUUUCUGUGGUUUAAAUAUUCCCAACGUGGCUGACUUCAAGCUGUCAACGUUAGGUCACUGAUCAAGGAGCUGGAAAGACAUGUGCAGUUAAGACAUCAUGACACAGGUAUCCCCUGGUUUUGGAUUCACGUUACACCACGUUGCUUUUCUGAAAA